GCCUUCGUGGUGUAGUGGUCAACACGCUCGACGCGUAUUCGAGAAAUUGGUUCGAGUCCCGGCCAGGGCA
rnacentral:tRNA from 1 species